rnacentral:piRNA from 1 species
UGGGUCAUGUAAUGCCUUGCACUGAAGAC